GGCAUCAGUAUUCCGUUGUCAGAGGUGAAAUUCUUGGAUUUACGGAAGAAAACUACUGCGAAAGCAUUUGCCAAGGAUGUUUUCAUUAAUCAUUGAACGAAAGUUAGGGAAUCGAAAACAAUCAAAUACCGUCGAAGUCUUAACCGUAAACUAUGCCAACUAGGGAUCGGGCGAUGUUCUUUUUCUGACUCGCUCGGCCCCUUACGAAAAAUCAAAGUUUUUGGGCUCUGGGGGGAUUAUGGUCGCGAGGCUGAAACUUAAAGAAAUUGACGGAAGGUCACCCCCAGGCGGGGAGCCUGCGGUUUAAUUUGACUCAACACGGGGAAACUCACCGGGCCCAGAUGAAAUAAGGAUUGACAGAUUGAGAG
rnacentral:rRNA from 1 species